rnacentral:tRNA from 1 species
CAACAAAUAUUUUAUAAAAAUAUUAAUUUUGGGUAUUAAAGAUGUGAUAUUAUUCAUUUUGUUGA